UAGGUGUUUGCAAAACGAAAUCAAUAAGAAUGAAGUUUAAAACACCAUUGGAUUUUUUUGUCCCCAAAGGUUAGGAAUGGUUAAAUCUCGUCUUUCCUCACUGACAAGUUAUUUGAACCAUUCAAUGACCAAGCAACGUACGAAACAAUAUAUACUUGCCCCUUUCUAUCAAGAGUAAGCACACACAACUCAUAAUUAAUCUCAUUACUUUGUUAACCUCUUUUUUUUUUGUGAAUGAUUUAUCUUUUUUUUUUUCUUACUGUAUGUUGUUUAUUCAUAAGUCAUCAUUAGAUGCUAGUUGUUAUUUGCCCCCAAAAAGGAGUAGCUUUUUUCUUCAAUUCUUUGGCAGAUUGGUCAUUAGAUAGUGUGCAUCUCAAAGGAGCAUUGUAGUAUUACAGUUUAAUCUUUUUUUGUUACUUGUUUGAUAAUAUAGAUGCUGGUGGUGAUAAGAUGAAUUGCCAAAGGUUAUAAGUGAUGACUUUCAUGGUGUUUGAGAAGAUUUGAUUGUAUAUUGUAAUGUUGCAGAUGUUACAUGCCGGAAGUAUUGGUGGUUUUAGAUGCUUUUAAUAAUGGCAUAGUGCCGUAUAGGUCAAUUUUAUGGAGAGAUGCUGCCGAUUUUUUUGUAGGUUUGAUUAGUGUUUUAUUUCCAUAUGUAAUGCAUUCGUAUCAAAUUUGUGUACAGGGCAUAUAGAACUUUAAUGAAUAUUAAAAAAGGAUCUCGGAAAACAAAGCUAACGUGGAAUGUCAUUAAGCGUUUCAGUGUUCUCGACAAACAAGCGGAGUUGAGUGUGGCUAUUAUGUCAUGAAGUAUAUGGAUCAAAUUGUCUCACUUAUACUACAAAAAGAUAACGAUUGGGAAAAGCAUUUCUCUCUUCAACCUUUCACUAAGGAGGUGAUCGAUGAUAUUCGAGAAAGAUGGUGUAGAUUUUUUUUAUGAUAAAUGUUUGUAGUUUAAUGAGAAUGAAACUUGUACUCAAAAGUUCGCGAACAAAGUUAUUUCAGUUUUUUUUUUUCUUCGGUUUUUAUAGCACAUACAAUUUUCAUGUAUGUACUCGUUUUAUUAGAAAAUUUUCAAUUAUUAAUAUAUUUUAGUUAAUUUUGUAUUUAUUAGUUUAAA